rnacentral:rRNA from 1 species
GGCUAAAAUUUCAUAACCUCUCAAGAGCAAAGAGGGGGACCUUCGGGCCUCUCGCUGUCAGAUGAACCCAGAUGGGAUUAGCUAGUAGGUGGGGUAAUGGCUCACCUAGGCGACGAUCCCUAGCUGGUCUGAGAGGAUGACCAGCCACACUGGAACUGAGACACGGUCCAGACUCCUACGGGAGGCAGCAGUGGGGAAUAUUGCACAAUGGGCGCAAGCCUGAUGCAGCCAUGCCGCGUGUAUGAAGAAGGCCUUCGGGUUGUAAAGUACUUUCAGCGGGGAGGAAGGCGAUGAGGUUAAUAACCUCGUCGAUUGACGUUACCCGCAGAAGAAGCACCGGCUAACUCCGUGCCAGCAGCCGCGGUAAUACGGAGGGUGCAAGCGUUAAUCGGAAUUACUGGGCGUAAAGCGCACGCAGGCGGUCUGUCAAGUCAGAUGUGAAAUCCCCGGGCUUAACCUGGGAACUGCAUUUGAAACUGGCAGGCUAGAGUCUUGUAGAGGGGGGUAGAAUUCCAGGUGUAGCGGUGAAAUGCGUAAAGAUCUGGAGGAAUACCGGUGGCGAAGGCGGCCCCCUGGACAAAGACUGACGCUCACGUGCGAAAGCGUGGGGAGCAAACAGGAUUAG